rnacentral:rRNA from 1 species
UACGUAGGGGGCAAGCGUUGUCCGGAAUCAUUGGGCGUAAAGCGCGCGUAGGCGGCCUCAUAAGUCCGCUGUAAAAGUCAAAGGCUCAACCUUUGAAUGCCGGUGGAUACUGUGAGGCUAGAGUCCGGAAGAGGCGAGUGGAACUCCUGGUGUAGCGGUGGAAUGCGCAGAUAUCAGGAAGAACACCAACGGCGAAGGCAGCUCGCUGGGACGGUACUGACGCUGAGGCGCGAAAGCUAGGGGAGCAAACAGG